rnacentral:misc_RNA from 1 species
UUUCCGUAGGUGAACCUGCGGAAGGAUCAUUAAAGAGAUCAUGCCCUCACGGGUAGACCUCCCACCCUUUGUUUACAAUACCUUUGUUGCUUUGGCGGGCCCGUUUGGCCCCGCGCUGAACAACCGGCCCCGGCUGGUCAGUGCCCGCCAGAGAACCGAAAACUCUGAAUUAAAUGUCGUCUGAGUACUAUGUAAUAGUUAAAACUUUCAACAACGGAUCUCUUGGCUCUC